UAGAGGCAGCAGCUAAGAAUAUUGGGCAAUGGGCGAAAGCCUGACCCAGCAACGCCGCGUGAAGGAAGAAGGUCUUCGGAUUGUAAACUUCUUUUAUGAGGGACGAAGGACGUGACGGUACCUCAUGAAUAAGCCACGGCUAACUACGUGCCAGCAGCCGCGGUAAU
rnacentral:rRNA from 1 species